CGGGUAGAGUAAUGCGUGACCAACCUGCCCCAUGCUCCAGAAUAGCUCUUGGAAACGGGUGGUAAUGCUGGAUGCUCCAACUUGACGCAUGUCUUGUUGGGAAAGUGUUUAGUGGCAUGGGAUGGGGUCGCGUCCUAUCAGCUUGUAGGCGGGGUAAUGGCCCACCUAGGCUUCGACGGGUAGCCGGCCUGAGAGGGCGGACGGCCACAUUGGGACUGAGAUACGGCCCAGACUCCUACGGGAGGCAGCAGAC
rnacentral:rRNA from 1 species